rnacentral:rRNA from 1 species
GACGAACGCUGGCGGCGUGCUUAACACAUGCAAGUCGAACGGAAAGGCCCUGAUUUUGCGGGGUGCCCGAGGGGCGAACGGGUACGUAACACGUGAGUAACCUGCCCUUGACUUUGGGAUAACUUCAGGAAACUGGGGCUAAUAUAGGACAGGAGCUCCUGCUGCAUGGUGGGCGUUGGAAAGUUUCGGCGGUUGGGGAUGGACUCGCGGCUUACCAGCUUGUUGGUGGGGUAGUGGCUUACCAAGGCAUUGACGGGUAGCCGGCCUGGGAGGGUGACCGGCCACAUUGGGACUGAGAUACGGCCCAGACUCCUACGGGAGGCAGCAGUGGGGAGUAUUACCCAAUGGGCGGGAGCCGGAUGCAGCAGCGCCGCGUUCGGGAUGACGGCCUUCGGGUUGUAAACCGCUUUCGCCUGUGACGAAGCGUGAGUGACGGUAAUGGGUAAAGAAGCACCGGCUAACUACGUG